AAACAUCUCAAAACAAACAUUUUUCCUUAGCUUACUUUACAUGGCCAGCUCUCCACUGCCUAAACAAGAACCACUGUCUUAUAUUAUCCUACACCACACCCCCUGCUUAAAAUGCGCACCCUCCUCAACUCAAGGCCACUAACACCAUUACCACCAUGUCUCGCUUCAAAUUUCAACUCUUCUCCAUUUCGCUCUCUGUUUCACUACAGCCUUAGAACCAACAAGAGAUUUCAUUUCUUAUCUCCUUGUUCUUCCUUAAAACAAAAAAAGAAACAACAGCAGACACUUAGAAAGACCAAUGCCCCACAAAGUGUAAGGUGGUUCUUGAACACAAAAGGUGAUGAUAGUGAAGCUGAAGAGGGGUUGGAAGGAGACACUGCAUUUAAAGGUACUCUUUUGGCCGGAGUCUUGUUGGUUGGUGUUGUUGGUGGGUUUGGUGCUGUUGGGUAUAUCUACAAGGACCAGAUCAAUGCUUUCUUGAACCAGUUUUCUGGGUUCAUUGAAGGUUAUGGACCAGCUGGAUAUGCUUUAUUUGUAGCGGUUUAUGCAGGAUUGGAAAUCCUUGCAAUUCCAGCGAUUCCAUUAACCAUGUCAGCAGGUCUUCUUUUUGGCUCUCUUAUUGGCACCAUUAUUGUCUCUAUAAGUGGAACGGCUGCUGCAAGCAUUGCUUUUCUGAUAGCUAGAUAUUUUGCUCGAGAGCGCAUUCUUAAACUGGUUGAAGGAAAUAAAAAAUUUCUUGCAAUUGACAAAGCGAUCGGGGAAAAUGGCUUCAAAGUUGUCACCCUUCUACGUUUGAGUCCUUUGCUUCCAUUUUCUCUCGGGAAUUAUUUGUAUGGAUUGACAUCUGUUAAGUUCAUCCCCUAUGUCUUGGGAAGUUGGUUGGGGAUGCUUCCAGGAACAUGGGCUUAUGUGAGUGCUGGUGCAUUUGGCCGUGCAAUCAUUAGUAGGCUGGCCUCUUUGAUGGACGAAGAUGGUAGCAACCCACUCCACGAUGCAGGAGUGGAGGCCCUUUGAGGUGUUGUGCGAGCUCAAGAGCAGAAACUAGAUCGUUUGGAGCCAAUCAUAACAAAUCUAGCUCGGCUAACAAGUAACACAAACAAGGAUUGUGAAAAGGAGGAAUUUGCUUGGAGACUUACCUCGAGCAAGAGGAAUCUGAGCUCAGAUUAAGGGAAGGUAACAGUGGGCUUUGGACCCUUGGACUGGGAUUAUUGGUCACAGCUAUUGCUGCAACUUAUGUAACGCGGCUGGCUAAG